GGCUGUUAAAACCCCAAACCAAUCCCCUUCUUCCCUCUCCUUGCUCCAGAGUCUGAAUAAAUAAGACGGGAAGAGUACUCAUCUUUACUGAAGGACUGAAACCUUCCUAAGCAGGAUGCUGAGAAACCUCUCUUGCUGGGCUUUAGGCAAGCUUUAAGCUGGAUACUCGUGCCUGGAGACACAUUCCCCAUGGACAGCAUCAUGCAAACUGGGAAUAGGAUGGCAAGAAACCUGAAUUACAGUCUUCUCCCAGGGGAUGCUUCAGAGAUUUUUGUCCACCUACAAGACCUCUGCUACAUCAAUGGGUACCAGGAUGGCAGGAGGUUCUCAUAGAUGGCUGGAGCUCCACAGCAUCUUCACUGAUUUAUGUGGCUGUGUGCACCAGGGCCUCCGGACUGCAGGCCACUGAAUGGUGUGGCUAGCAGAGACUGUUAAAGCCUGGACCAGAGUCAUUGAACUCAAUGGUGUUAACUUUCAAUGCAGAGCUCCACACUUUACACAUGAAUCUGGAGACAUCUGGCAGCUGAAAAAGCUGUAGAGAGAAAGACAAAAACCAUUUCAGCACUGGGUAAUGCUCUCUGCCAGAGCCUUUCAGAGGGAUAACAGUUGUUAUGCAGAUAGUAGCAAAGUUCUUGAAAAGGUUGUUGAAAUGUGUGCAUGUGUGGACAGUUUUUUGCAUCUGAAGUACCUCUGUUGUAAACCUGCC